GUGACUGCGUACCUUUUGUAUAAUGGGUCAGCGACUUAUAUUCUGUAGCAAGGUUAACCGAAUAGGGGAGCCGAAGGGAAACCGAGUCUUAACUGGGCGUUAAGUUGCAGGGUAUAGACCCGAAACCCGGUGAUCUAGCCAUGGGCAGGUUGAAGGUUGGGUAACACUAACUGGAGGACCGAACCGACUAAUGUUGAAAAAUUAGCGGAUGACUUGUGGCUGGGGGUGAAAGGCCAAUCAAACCGGGAGAUAGCUGGUUCUCCCCGAAAGCUAUUUAGGUAGCGCCUCGUGAAUUCAUCUCCGGGGGUAGAGCACUGUUUCGGCAAGGGGGUCAUCCCGACUUACCAACCCGAUGCAAACUGCGAAUACCGGAGAAUGUUAUCACGGGAGACACACGGCGGGUGCUAACGUCCGUCGUGAAGAGGGAAACAACCCAGACCGCCAGCUAAGGUCCCAAAGUCAUGGUUAAGUGGGAAACGAUGUGGGAAGGCCCAGACAGCCAGGAUGUUGGCUUAGAAGCAGCCAUCAUUUAAAGAAAGCGUAAUAGCUCACUGGUCGAGUCGGCCUGCGCGGAAGAUGUAACGGGGCUAAACCAUGCACCGAAGCUGCGGCAGCGACGCUUAUGCGUUGUUGGGUAGGGGAGCGUUCUGUAAGCCUGUGAAGGUGUGCUGUGAGGCAUGCUGGAGGUAUCAGAAGUGCGAAUGCUGACAUAAGUAACGAUAAAGCGGGUGAAAAGCCCGCUCGCCGGAAGACCAAGGGUUCCUGUCCAACGUUAAUCGGGGCAGGGUGAGUCGACCCCUAAGGCGAGGCCGAAAGGCGUAGUCGAUGGGAAACAGGUUAAUAUUCCUGUACUUGGUGUUACUGCGAAGGGGGGACGGAGAAGGCUAUGUUGGCCGGGCGACGGUUGUCCCGGUUUAAGCGUGUAGGCUGGUUUUCCAGGCAAAUCCGGAAAAUCAAGGCUGAGGCGUGAUGACGAGGCACUACGGUGCUGAAGCAACAAAUGCCCUGCUUCCAGGAAAAGCCUCUAAGCAUCAGGUAACAUCAAAUCGUACCCCAAACCGACACAGGUGGUCAGGUAGAGAAUACCAAGGCGCUUGAGAGAACUCGGGUGAAGGAACUAGGCAAAAUGGUGCCGUAACUUCGGGAGAAGGCACGCUGAUAUGUAGGUGAAGUCCCUCGCGGAUGGAGCUGAAAUCAGUCGAAGAUACCAGCUGGCUGCAACUGUUUAUUAAAAACACAGCACUGUGCAAACACGAAAGUGGACGUAUACGGUGUGACGCCUGCCCGGUGCCGGAAGGUUAAUUGAUGGGGUUAGCGGUAACGCGAAGCUCUUGAUCGAAGCCCCGGUAAACGGCGGCCGUAACUAUAACGGUCCUAAGGUAGCGAAAUUCCUUGUCGGGUAAGUUCCGACCUGCACGAAUGGCGUAAUGAUGGCCAGGCUGUCUCCACCCGAGACUCAGUGAAAUUGAACUCGCUGUGAAGAUGCAGUGUACCCGCGGCAAGACGGAAAGACCCCGUGAACCUUUACUAUAGCUUGACACUGAACAUUGAGCCUUGAUGUGUAGGAUAGGUGGGAGGCUUUGAAGUGUGGACGCCAGUCUGCAUGGAGCCGGCCUUGAAAUACCACCCUUUAAUGUUUGAUGUUCUAACGUUGGCCCCUGAUCGGGGUUGCGGACAGUGUCUGGUGGGUAGUUUGACUGGGGCGGUCUCCUCCUAAAGAGUAACGGAGGAGCACGAAGGUUGGCUAAUCCUGGUCGGACAUCAGGAGGUUAGUGCAAUGGCAUAAGCCAGCUUGACUGCGAGCGUGACGGCGCGAGCAGGUGCGAAAGCAGGUCAUAGUGAUCCGGUGGUUCUGAAUGGAAGGGCCAUCGCUCAACGGAUAAAAGGUACUCCGGGGAUAACAGGCUGAUACCGCCCAAGAGUUCAUAUCGACGGCGGUGUUUGGCACCUCGAUGUCGGCUCAUCACAUCCUGGGGCUGAAGUAGGUCCCAAGGGUAUGGCUGUUCGCCAUUUAAAGUGGUACGCGAGCUGGGUUUAGAACGUCGUGAGACAGUUCGGUCCCUAUCUGCCGUGGGCGCUGGAGAACUGAGGGGGGCUGCUCCUAGUACGAGAGGACCGGAGUGGACGCCUCACUGGUGUUCGGGUUGUCAUGCCAAUGGCACUGCCCGGUAGCUAAAUGCGGAAGAGAUAAGUGCUGAAAGCCUCUAAGCACGAAACUUGCCCCGAGAUGAGUUCUCCCUGACUCCUUGAGAGUCCUGAAGGAACGUUGAAGACGACGACGUUGAUAGGCCGGGUGUGUAAGCGCAGCGAUGCGUUGAGCUAACCGGUACUAAUGAACCGUGAGGCUUAACCU
rnacentral:rRNA from 1 species